rnacentral:piRNA from 1 species
UAAAAACUUAUUAUUUAGUAA